rnacentral:rRNA from 1 species
CAGUAGCCGCGGUAAUACAGAGGUCCCAAGCGUUACUGAGAAUCACUGGGUUUAAAGGGUGCGUAGGUGGUCCGUUAAGUCAGUUGUGAAAUCCCCGGGCUCAACCCGGGAACUGCUUCUGAUACUGGCGGACUUGAGGCCAGUAGAGGUCACUAGAACAGACGGUGGAGCGGUGAAAUGCGUAGAUAUCGUCUGGAAUGCCGGUGGUGAAGACGGGUGACUGGGCUGGUUCUGACACUGAGGCACGAAAGCGUGGGGAGCGAACGGGAUUAGAUACCCCCGUAGUCCCUGUCUCUUAUAC